GGGUUAAGUCCCAUAACGAGCGCAACCCUUACUGUUAGUUGCCAGCGGUAGAGCCGGGAACUCUAACGGGACUGCCACCGUAAGGUGAGAGGAAGGUGGGGAUGACGUCAAAUCAGCACGGCCCUUAUGUCCAGGGCUACACACGUGUUACAAUGGCCGGUACAAAGGGCAGCUACACCGCGAGGUGAUGCUAAUCUCCGAAAAGCCGGUCUCAGUUCGGAUCGAAGUCUGCAACCCGACUUCGUGAAGUUGGAUUCGCUAGUAAUCGCGCAUCAGCCAUGGCGCGGUGAAUACGUUCCCGGGCCUU
rnacentral:rRNA from 1 species